AGAGUUUGAUCAUGGCUCAGAUUGAACGCUGGCGGCAGGGCUUAACACAUGCAAGUCGAGCGGGCGAGGUUGCUUCGGUAACUGAGCUAGCGGCGGACGGGUGAGUAAUGCUUAGGAAUCUGCCUAUUAGUGGGGGACAACAUUCCGAAAGGGAUGCUAAUACCGCAUACGUCCUACGGGAGAAAGCAGGGCUCUUUAUGACCUUGCGCUAAUAGAUGAGCCUAAGUCGGAUUAGCUAGGUUGGUGGGGUAAAGGCCUACCAAGGCGACGAUCUGUAGCGGGUCUGAGAGGAUGAUCCGCCACACUGGGACUGAGACACGGCCCAGACUCCUACGGGAGGCAGCAGUGGGGAAUAUUGGACAAUGGGGGAACCCUGAUCCAGCCAUGCCGCGUGUGUGAAGAAGGCCUUUUGGUUGUAAAGCACUUUAAGUGGGGAGGAGGCUUACCUGGUUAAUACCUGGGCUAAGUGGACGUUACCCACAGAAUAAGCACCGGCUAACUCUGUG
rnacentral:rRNA from 1 species